CCUAUACUUCCGCCAGCGGUCCCCUUUCGGGGCCCAAAGCCCCAGUCGUGGCAAGGGAUUUCCCCCACCUCGCGACUGGUGCCCAUGGUCGGGGCUUCCCGGCCAUGGGGCCCACCGAUGGGCCUGGGACGGUCCCUUGACCUCUCCCCAGUGCCCGUCGAAGGGGUGGACCUCCACCUCGACCCCGUCCCUCGAGGAACGUCUCGAUGA
rfam:Cyanobium gracile PCC 6307, complete genome.